rnacentral:misc_RNA from 1 species
UCCGGUUUGUCACCGGCAGUCUGGCGCGAGUCCCCAACUUAAUGAUGGCAACACGCCACGGGGGUUGCGCUCGUUGCGGGACUUAACCCAACAUCUCACGACACGAGCUGACGACAGCCAUGCAGCAUCUGUGGCGCACCCUCGAAGGUCACACGUUUCCGUGCGCUUGCAGCGCCAUGUCAAGCCCAGGUAAGGUGGGGAUGACGUCGGAGGAAUUCCA